rnacentral:rRNA from 1 species
AUGGAGUUAAGAUUUUGUUCACUGACCAACUCCCUCCCCGAUGACCUUCUGCAUCGCCUCCAGCUCGAUCAGCCUGUCUUCAUUCGCCUGCGCGCGCACACAGAAGAAAUCAAAAUCAGGCUGGAAUUGAUCAAUUGGAACAAAUUUUACCACACGGAGCAGAGGAAGCAGGUUGAAAUGUAUCCAAAGCAGUUGGUGCAGACCGCUGUCCUGGUGACCGCGAAUUUGAUCUGCGCGAUCUCGCGCUGGAUGUGGUCGAAGAAGGCCUUGUUGAGCCUGGGGCGGAGCCUGCCGAUCUCGAUCUCGAUCUCCCGCGCGUCCGUGUCCAGGAAGAACUCCACCAGCCCGGCGUCCGUCUCAGGUAUCACCCGCGCCUGCACUCACGCGGCCACGCCGUGUCAUCUUGUCAGCUCAGCUCAGGCCGGCAAGGGAAGGGGACGUGCUCGACGGACGGAAUUGCAGCCAAUGAAUGAAUUACCGUACCUCGCGCUCCUUGCGGCGGCGCUCCUGCUCCUCCUUGACCUGGAGGUCGAAGGCGGCGCGCGCGUCGGCGUCGCUGUCGAGGCGGCGCCGGAACUCGAGGCGCGAGAUGUGGCCCGGCUGCGGCGGCGCCAGGAUGCCCUCCGGGUCCUGCGUCCCAAGCCGAGCGCGUCAGUCAGUCAGCGCCGGCCAGCCAGCUGA